CCUACAUAUCACAGCAUUUGUAUGAUUUACGCAUUUUAUUUUGGGCAAGGCUUCCACUAACCUCCAUUAGUUUAUCUUUGAUUCUUAAUUAGAAGGGUAGCGAUAAAACAGUCCAGUAGGUACAAGAAAGAGUGUGACUAAAACAAAUAUAGAUAUACACAAAGCUGCAUGUAGGCUUACAAGGUACCCUUUGGCUUUUGCAGAGAGAUGUAAUGAAUGAAGUACUACAGCUAUAGCUAUUGCUAUGUCUUAGAUAUGCAUGGGAUGAGAUGAGAGAUUCCACUGACUUGAAGGAGUGCAGUGGUGUCGUUUCAAUGUUCUUUUGUGUGCCACUCGUCUCAGUAUUACCACAAUAUCUGCUAAUUUUUUUCGUUAACGAAAGGAUAACUCUGCUUUCAACCUCGAACAAGCAUGCAUCUCUUUUCUUUCUCAUUAUUUUAC
rnacentral:sRNA from 1 species